ACUUAAAUAAUUUAAUUAAAAUAUUGAUUUGUGGUGUCAAAAAUAUGGGUAUAUAAAUCAUUUUAAGUU
rnacentral:tRNA from 1 species